GUUUGAUCCUGGCUCAGAUUGAACGCUGGCGGCAGGCCUAACACAUGCAAGUCGAACGGUAACAGGAAACAGCUUGCUGUUUCGCUGACGAGUGGCGGACGGGUGAGUAAUGUCUGGGAAACUGCCUGAUGGAGGGGGAUAACUACUGGAAACGGUAGCUAAUACCGCAUAACGUCGCAAGACCAAAGAGGGGGACCUUCGGGCCUCUUGCCAUCGGAUGUGCCCAGAUGGGAUUAGCUAGUAGGUGGGGUAACGGCUCACCUAGGCGACGAUCCCUAGCUGGUCUGAGAGGAUGACCAGCCACACUGGAACUGAGACACGGUCCAGACUCCUACGGGAGGCAGCAGUGGGGAAUAUUGCACAAUGGGCGCAAGCCUGAUGCAGCCAUGCCGCGUGUAUGAAGAAGGCCUUCGGGUUGU
rnacentral:rRNA from 1 species